CCUUCUCUAUGGCCACCGCCCUAGAGCACUUCCCGUAUUCGGGAGCGCCGGCUUCGUCGAUCGGCUGGGACAUGUAACGGUCGCCGUCACCAUGGAGACGCCCGGCACCAGGGUCCUCCUGUCCCAGUCAGAAGAAGCACUGGCCUCUCCCUUGCCAAACGAAAGCAUAAAUUCUCCACUGCCAAACCUAACACCAAGACACCAAGACCUGAUUGCCACACCAUGUGGCCCUAUCAAACGAUGGUCCGAAUUGUCGUCCCCUGUCAAGAUCUACUUCUGUGUCACCAUCCUUUCGCUGUUGAGCGUCAUUGGAUUAACCGUGGAGACCCUCAUCCAGCAGAAAAAUGAAGAUUUCACUGUGUCUCUCAUCCAGAUCAUUGGCCUUGUUUUCUGCAUCUAUUACGUCAGCCGGGGGAUCCUUGCAGGAGAAUCGCCAGGAGCUGGUUGUCUUCGUCCUCUCUGUCGUCUUGGUCAUGCUGCGCUCCGUGAUCAACUUCACCGUCCUGCCCGCCAAGCAGAAGCCGGAGUUGUUGGCCCGCUUCGUCCUGAUCCUUCUGGUGGGAGCCUUUGACGUCUCCUGCGCCAUGAUCCUGAUUCAGAGCGAGAGCCGGAUGGCCUUCCGAGUGGGCGGCGCGUUGGAGAGCCUCCAAGCCCAGUAUUUCAUGCUGACCUCUGCUUUUCCAUGCUGACCUUUGACCUCCAGGCUCAGCUCUGUUUGUGCGCCCUGCUGCUGACGACAACCCGGGAGAUUUCAAACCUGCACAGUGUGUUCCUGGCUGUUGGGAUUUGCUGGGCUGUCCUGAAAGUGGCCUGUGGCAUCACCGCAAUCUUAAAAGAGUUGAAACCUCUUGCCUGGGUUUUUGUGAUUCAGAAUCUACCAGAAGUGGCUUAUCUGGCAUACCUCCUGUACGCGGUGAUAACCGAAUGGGGCAAAGGGAACUCUUACGCCUUGGAAGCCGCCAUCAUCACCUGCUCUUGCAUUUCAGUGAUGAUCAAAAGCGUCCUGUCUGGGCACUGUUUCACGUCUAUCAGAGUUUUGGGCAAGGCCUGAGAGAGAGGAUGUUUUCUUCCUAUGGAAGGAUCGAUUCGUGACCCGCAGCUCCAUUGCCGAAACCGAUGUGCUCUUAUAGAGUGAAAAACCAAGUUGGGAAAAUGUGAUUUCCCCCCUUCCCUCCCCUUCUUGCCCCCCCCUGGUUGGACUCUGAUAAGAGAAGCAGCAGCAACAGCAGUGACUCAGUCCCAAGGGAGACCUUCCACCUCGCUGGAUCUCCGGGAUCACCCCGCCAAGACAUUCCUCACACCGAAAAGCCAACUGAAACCAUGCAUCGUCCCGAUUCUCCCCUAAAGGUCCUUUGGAGCACCUCCUCGAUGUAGCUUUCACUGCAAGCAGCCUUUCUCGUGCUGGGAGUGGGGGGGGGGGGUUGUCUUGGCACAUUUGUUCCCCCUGGUUGUAUUGUAACCCCCCCCAUUUUACUUUAUUUUUUUACUUAAUUUGGGCCCUGCCCCCGUUGGCAUGCCCGAACUUGACCGACGGGGGCAGAUUUUGCAGUUGCCAAAUUGCAAAGCGGGAUCCCGGGGGCGUGGCCGCACUUUCAAUAUAAAUCGAAUAAUUCUUCGCCCUAAAAGAGCCUCGGGCCCCGCUUGGCCUGGCCUGACCCGCUCUCCGAAUCCAGUUUGAAACCCGAAACGUUCUCUUUCGGUCGCUCCCGUUUUGCCACGCUCUGUUAACCGAGAGAGCGGCUGUUCACACUUCCGAGGCUGCAGGAAGGGGGUUGUCAUCCCAAUUGCAAGGUUGCUUCGGUUCCUGGCAGGCACUCCAGGUGGCAUCGCUGCCCUCCUGAUGUGGUGCCAAGAGUGGCAAAGCACAGGAGCAUACUGGUUGGCGUAGGCUGGUCAGUUUUGCAUGAACCCUUGUAGAAAAGACAGAGAUUUUGUUCCACCUGAACAAUUUCGGGUCAGAAAUCACCCAAGGCAGGAGAGAAUGAACGGUGAAAACCGUUUGCCUAAAAUUGCCGCGUCUGUGUUGUACAAACUGGGCCCUUGCAAGGCUUAGCAUGUCCGUCUUAAUCAGAUACACACAAACUUUUCUUGGCUCUGUCAGCCCUUCCAGGCUAAAAGUUUCCUUUGGUCAAUAUUAGCAUGGCUGAUUUCUUGCUGACUCCAGAGAGCUCUCUUUAAAAAAAAAAAAGUUAAAAAUGCAAUCUUAAAAACUUUGAAGGUUUUUGGUCCUUCCUUUUCAAAAACAGCCCCAAGCGAUGUUGAGUAUCUUAGCCGAGUUAAUCUUCGUAUAACAAAGCGAUUUUUUUUUCUAACAAAACCCCAGAAUUUCAUACUCUUGAAUCAUAAUGCUUUAUUUAAAUAAAUAAAUCAUAAUUUUUUAAAAAAACAAGAGUUGUUACGAGCCUUGUAUUUUUCAAUAAAGGAUCAAUGG